CAGGGGGUUAGCAAUAUGGAGUAUGUUUCUGAAUGGAGAGCUUAGAUUUCCUCUUCUUUCUUUCUCUUGGUUGAGGAGUUGGUGGUAACUUAAAGGAGAGGCUUGUCUGGCAUGGCAAAGUUGUGGGAAUUUCUUGCUGAAACACUGGUCUUACAGCUUAGAAUCCAGAAAAGAAAGUGAAGAAGAAUCAAAUAUGAAAUUACUCUUCUGCUGCACUCAGAAGUAUCAGAGAUACUGUACUGUUGUCAUCAGCUGAACAAAGAAGCCCACAGUGGACAAAUACAGCAGGAUAAGUCUAUUCUCCUGCUCAUCCUUACCCAAAUAGGCUCUGACUGGUGCAUGCCACUCCCUCUGAAGUCAGUGGAGCUGUGAGGAAUCACCUGUGUGGCGGUGCUCACCUGACCAGACCUUCAUCAGAUAUAAAUCUCACAGGCUUCCUGCUUCAGUGAGGUUGCAGUAAUUUAUUGUGUAUGUUGCAGUGUUUCUUGCAAGUCAGCUGGCAAUUGCCUGGAGAUCUGUCUCCCUUAGGAGUUUUGCCUGGGGAUUAUCUGUCUACCCUGCUGCACUAUCUGCUGCUCUCCUUUGCCUGUAAUUAUAGGUGGCAGCUCUGUUAGAUUCUGCACUAAGAAAGUGUUCUUUAUAUCCCACUUAAGCAAAGACAGAAUAAAUACUUACAAGGUAGUUUUGGGCUCCAUAUUAUCUGAUCUCUCCUUGUCUGUCUCUCUCUGAUUUCCAGCCCUCAGAUUGGAAGGGCUAUCUCCACCAGUUGCUCCAUUGUGCUCUUUGGUUCCUCCAUUGACACUCUUUGGUUGUGCUUUUUUGGCAUCUAGCCCAGGCCCCUCACUGCCAUCAUUUGUCUCACAAAUGAUUACUGGAUUACUUCAGCAUGACUUGACCCAGAAACAGGAGUGGCGCUUUGAGAUCGAAACCUCUGCUGUGGCUGGAUGUAGUAAUAGUGUCAGUAUGGAACACCCUUGUUUGGAAUUGUUUUUUGAUAUGUCCAAGCUGGUGUUUUUGAUCUGUAACAGAGGUUAGCCCUAUCUUUCUGCUAGGUAGGCAGAGAUGCAUUCAAAGGAUAGCUUUUCUCUGAGAGAGGAGUGAACAGCUUCACCAGAGAAGAAAAAAUAUCUGUGUUGUGUUUUCCCCUGUAGAAGGAACUGGGUGAAACUGAUUUCAUUCCAUAGUUGCCUGUGCCUUUUUGUCCUGUUUCUUUCAGCAGAUUAGUGUGCCAGUCUGAGCUUUUCAAAUAGAGCAGGACAGAAUAUAGAGACAGGCAGGAGAGAAGUUCAGGGAAAAAGCAUCCCAAAAGAAUCUACCACUUUUCUCCAAAUGUAAAGUACUAAGAGAAGAUGCUUGUAGAGGAUGAAAAUGCUGGCUGUAGUUUCUGUGAUUGAUUACAAGGAUGCAUGAAUGCUGGGGAACGGCCUACAAAGCAGACCACAAAAGGUUGUUGAGUAUAGAAACAUAGAAUUGAGAAAAGGGGAAAUAGCAGUCUGGAAAGAAUUGAAAUUGUCCUGGUGAGACAUUUUUAACAAGCUGUAGGUAAUUUCAUCAAGGGAAGUGAGGGGGUUAAGAAGUUAACUGGAGAAAUAAUAAGAAAUAUGCUCUAAGGACUAAUUUUCUGUCAGCAGUAUGAGUUAAUGACCUAGCUGGUCCUUUGGUUUCCUUACAUCUCUCAUGCCUACUGUUCUGUGAGCAGCACCUUCUAGUCAUUAGGAAUAAGACUAUGUAAAACAAGUAGUGUUACUGAAACUACUGAUUUACUUUCAGUGAGUUGAUCUUCCAGACAUCUUGGCCAUGAGAAAGCUUUCAUGCUGUAGAAGAUAGAAUGGAUAUGGGGCAAGUAGAGUCCAAAACUGAAACUUCCUUUCUGCUUUCCCUAUAAGGCCUUGAGUUGUUUCUGUCUCCAGGAAGGAUAUUCUUCUGAGACCUGGCCUUGCAAUCUGUUCUUACAAAGCUAUGGUAGUUCACUAUCGCUCCUACACCUAUGGGCUGAGUUGUGCUAACUUUCUGUAUGCUUCUUGGGGCUUUUUAAAGGCAGAUAGAUGAUUUUUUUUUUUAUUUUAUUUUUUUUUACAUCAGGUCUCAUGAGUUUGUGCUGUUUGGUGAUGCAAAACAGACAGGAAGCUUUGUGAUCAUCCUU